UCCGAUUGGAGGUAGAAAUCUCUCUUGGCGCGCACCUGUCAAAAAGAUAAACAAUGGCGACGCCGCAAAAGUUUAAAAGGAAAGAGAAUUGGUCCAGAGCAGAGCAUGAAAUGCUGAGGUAUUCAUUCCUUGAUGAAAGCCAUGCCAUUGAAAGCAAGUCCAACCAUUACUCAUGUCGAUGAAGAAAAAUCGUGGAAGAGGAAUGAAAAGAGACUGAAUGCCCAGGGUGUCUGCAUUAGAACUCUUGAUGAGUUUAAUAAGAAAUUAACCAACAUCAAGAUGGACGUGAAGAGGAGGCGUCAGAUGGCAGCGCUGACAGGUGGUGUGACUCCGUAUCUGUUCUGAUACAUAGAAGGGCCACUUCUGGCCUAUAUAUCUACGGGGUGACUCCUCCAAAGUUCAAUGAGCAGGAGGAGAAGAAACAAGUCCAUCAUCUUUGGUGCUGCACCAUACUGCCAAAACAGCUACAUGUUCAUCGUUUGCAGUUAUGUCAAUUUACCUCCAACAUAGUGUUUCCUGCAAUGUCCCAGGGGGCUGCCAUGAUUCCAAAAAGUACAACACCAACUGCAGCAAAAGUGACAAGAGUUUCCAAGAUUCCAUCUACAAGCAACUUGAAAAGACUUCUUAAAUGCCAGAGUGAGCUCUAUGAGCAAAUAUUACAUCAACAAAAACUGACAAUUGACUGUCUCCUUUAUUACAAUUUAUUUCAUGAAUGAUAACUUAAAUAAAAUGUGACUCAGCAACUGUUUUAAAUCAACAAACAUUCUAACAUAAACCUUUGAAGUCUUAUAGUAGAAUCAUAUACCUGGAAGUCUUUGAUUAUUUUAUCUACUUAAAAAACUCACAAUCCACUUAAAUAUUGCUGACACUUGAAGCUUUGCAUAUUUUAUUCACUAUUGCAUUUAAUAAAUCUUUAUUUACCUGUCAACCUAUUCAUAUUCAAGUAAUCUAAUAUUUAAAUACAUAUGGAAAAGCACUUUCAUUUAAAGUGACAUCUAUCAAACAUUGUAAUCACAAAAAAGGGGCUCAUAAUCAUACAUUUUAUGAUAUGGUAUUUUUUUACCAAUAGCUGAAUGUGUAAAUUGGUUAUUGUUUAGAGAGAUAAUAUGUCAAUUUAUUUGUUUUGUAAAUGUGUUUUUAAAUUGUUAUUUAUACUGUCAACACUAUUUUAACAUAUUUAUGAUUGUCAGCCUUCAUGUACUGUUUUGUUCAUUGUUAUAAUCAUCUUCUCCAUAAGUAAUGUCAGUGAUUAUCAAAAUGAUACCGCAUCAAAUUCAUGUAUAAUCAUUUUUAAAGGGACUUGUUCAUGU